AAAUCGGUAGCACAGUGGUUAUAGCAGUCUGCGGGAUACAGAAAGACGCGGGUUCGAUUCCCGUCCGAUGUC
rfam:Nippostrongylus brasiliensis genome assembly, scaffold: NBR_scaffold0002401